UACGGAGGGUGCGAGCGUUGUCCGGAAUCACUGGGCGUAAAGGGCGCGUAGGUGGCUUGGCAAGCGUGUGGUGAAAGCCCGGGGCUCAACCCCGGGUCUGCCGUGCGAACUGCUAUGGCUUGAGCACUGUAGAGGCAGGUAGAAUUCCGGGUGUAGCGGUGGAAUGCGUAGAGAUCGUAAGGAAGACCAAUGGCGAAGGCAAGUCUCUGGACAGUGACUGACGCUGAGGCACGAAGGCCAGGGGAGCAAACGGG
rnacentral:rRNA from 1 species